UACGUAGGUGGCAAGCGUUGUUCGGAAUUAUUGGGCGUAAAGAGCGUGUAGGCGGCCAGGUAGGUCUGCUGUGAAAACUCGAGGCUUAACCUCGAGCUGUCGGCGGAAACCAUCUAGCUAGAGUCCGGAAGAGGAGAGUGGAAUUCCUGGUGUAGCGGUGAAAUGCGCAGAUAUCAGGAAGAACACCCGUGGCGAAGGCGGCUCUCUGGUACGUGACUGACGCUGAGACGCGAAAGCGUGGGGAGCGAACAGG
rnacentral:rRNA from 1 species